rnacentral:rRNA from 1 species
GUAGCAAGGUUAACCGUAUAGGGGAGCCGUAGGGAAACCGAGUCUUAACCGGGCGUUAAGUUGCAGGGUAUAGACCCGAAACCCGGUGAUCUAGCCAUGGGCAGGUUGAAGGUUGGGUAACACUAACUGGAGGACCGAACCGACUAAUGUUGAAAAAUUAGCGGAUGACCUGUGGCUGGGGGUGAAAGGCCAAUCAAACCGGGAGAUAGCUGGUUCUCCCCGAAAGCUAUUUAGGUAGCGCCUCGUGAAUUCAUCUCCGGGGGUAGAGCACUGUUUCGGCUAGGGGGCCAUCCCGGCUUACCAACCCGAUGCAAACUGCGAAUACCGGAGAAUGUUAUCACGGGAGACACACGGCGGGUGCUAACGUCCGUCGUGAAGAGGGAAACAACCCAGACCGCCAGCUAAGGUCCCAAAGUCAUGGUUAAGUGGGAAACGAUGUGGGAAGGCCCAGACAGCCAGGAUGUUGGCUUAGAAGCAGCCAUCAUUUAAAGAAAGCGUAAUAGCUCACUGGUCGAGUCGGCCUGCGCGGAAGAUGUAACGGGGCUAAACCAU